UUUUUCGAUUUUACUUUAUUAUUUUUGUCCGUUGAUUUAAUGAUUUUAUUGUCAACAAUUUUAAUUGGGGAUACGGUCCGGUUGUUUAUCUGCGGCAUAAUGACGCUAUCUUAUCGACAGUCGAAAGGUUACCGAGGGAGCGGUGCCUGCGGCUGGUUGCAUAAGUGUCGUAAUGUAUGAGAGGGUACAUCCGAGAAUGGUGAGGAUUUUUGAGUAGCGUGAGUUCGAUACUAGAUAUAAUGUUUUCCGUUUGUAUUUGUUAGAGAUACGAGGAUAACCAUCGAGCGUCGGAUAAAUGCGUGCGCACAGUCGGACUGUCCACGCGGGAAU